rnacentral:tRNA from 1 species
UGAGUAAUAGUUAAAGUUAUAACAAUUGAUUUGCAAUCAUUAAUUAUUUUUAUAAAAUUUACUUGA